UACAUAAAUGGUGACACCUCACAGCUGU
rnacentral:piRNA from 1 species